rnacentral:rRNA from 1 species
GACGAACGCUGGCGGCGUGCUUAACACAUGCAAGUCGAACGGAAAGGCCCUGCUUUUGUGGGGUGCUCGAGUGGCGAACGGGUGAGUAACACGUGAGUAACCUGCCCUUGACUUUGGGAUAACUUCAGGAAACUGGGGCUAAUACCGGAUAGGAGCUCCUGCUGCAUGGUGGGGGUUGGAAAGUUUCGGCGGUUGGGGAUGGACUCGCGGCUUAUCAGCUUGUUGGUGGGGUAGUGGCUUACCAAGGCUUUGACGGGUAGCCGGCCUGAGAGGGUGACCGGACACAGUGGGACUGCGAUACGCCCCGGACUCCUACGGGAGGCAGCAGGGGGGAUUAUUGCACAAUGGGCGGAGGCCUGAUGCAGCAACGCGGCGGGCGGGAUGACGGCCUGCGGGUUAUAAACCGCUUCCGCCUGUCACGAAGCGUGAGUGACGGUAAUGGGAAAAAAAGCACCGGCUAACUCCGUG